UACGUAGGUGGCAAGCGUUGUCCGGAUUUAUUGGGUUUAAAGGGUGCGUAGGCGGUCUAUUAAGUCAGUGGUGAAAGACGGUAGCUCAACUAUCGAGGUGCCAUUGAUACUGAUGGACUUGAGUGCACACGAGGUAGGCGGAAUGGACGGUGUAGCGGUGAAAUGCAUAGAUAUCGUCCAGAACACCGAUAGUGAAGACAGCUUACCAGAGUGCAACUGACGCUGAGGCACGAAAGUGUGGGGAUCAAACAGGAUUAGAUACCCUGGUAGUCCACACUGUAAACGUUGAUAACUCGCUGUUGGCGAUACACAGCCAGCGGCCAAGCGCAAGCGAUAAGUUAUCCACCUGGGGAGUACGCCGGCAACGGUG
rnacentral:rRNA from 1 species